CGUUCCUCAAAUCUCCUCCAACUAAUUACUUUAAAAAUCUCGAUAAUAACUAUUCCGUGAUUUACUGUAAUCUUCAAAUAUAUUUGGUAUGAUUUCUCAUAAUUAAAGAUCCAUCAUUAAUUGCAAUAAUAAAUAAAAACAAUAAUUUCCUUUUAUUUUAAAAACUUUCUAACGACAAAUGUAUUGCAAAAUAAAUAAUUUCCUAAAACAAUUACAGAACCUAAUAACUGUUGUAGACUUUUUAGGAAAAUAAUUACGUAAAUAUAUAACUUAAAGAUAACAAUUACUCAUCAAAUCUUUUUUUUUGUUAAUAUUGUAUCAUAACAAGACCUAAAUCAAUGGACUACUUAUUCUCUAUAUAUAAGUGAGGUUAUUUAGUCAUCAAAUCAAUGUGCAUGGUUCCACUCUCGCCGUCCCUCAGCUCUGCAAAUCAUUUGCUUCAUUUUCUACAUGUCUUGGACUAAGCCUCACGUUGAAUUGAGGAGCUUCCCAGUGUAUUCGGAAACUGGUCCUUCUACGUUACCUUAAUCUACAUGUUUUUGUGUUUGGACAAAUGAGGAAAUGAUUCUGAUUUUUAUUGUUUUGGUAUAUUGGUUCAUGUUUGAGUGUGAAAAUAUUUGCAGGGUUAACCAUAAUCCGUUGUAGCUUCUUAAUAUUGAUUUGGA